UUCAUUUGCGUCUGCCCGGAACUAAAUAGUUGGACUUUUACAAAAACCCCGACCUUAUUAGCAUCUAAUCUGAUAGUUUUGAACGCAUAAACAUGAAAUCCGCUUUGAACCAGUUCGUGAUUUAAGAAACAGUUUUAAUGAUUGUCGCCUUCUUGGAGAGGUGGAAGUUUCAAAUGGAAAUGGGCCGGACAUUUGGCUUUUUUCAUGACAUAUUGCAGAUUGCUAUGCCAGCUAUGCUACUGAUAUUCACCACUUGGCUGGGUAUACAUGGCUAGUGUACUCACAUGGCUAGUUGAGAGAAGGGUCGGUGCAUCAAAGCCGUCACAGGAUGGUGGCUGCAAGAAGGGAUUACCGGCUGAAGGAAGUCGUCGCUACUGAUGUUCCUUGAUGAUUACAGAGGGGGGUUGAAUAGUAACCGUACGACAUAUCAUACCCGUUUUACUUCUACUUUUUUGAACUUAGAAUCAAGAGCGGCCGUAAGUGUUUCUCUGAUUGCCAACUUGUGCUCUGCUGGGAGUUUGUGUAGCUAUGCUUCAUGUUGCCAUGUUGUUUAUUGCCAAACCAGAAAGCGGCCUCGACACGUGGCACUGGACCUUCCCACGUGCCAUACACGACUUGGUACGUCAUUGACAGCAGAUGCUUCGUUAUGGCCAUAUCCGUCUUAAUACGUAAUCAAAUGUGGUCCAAAGUUGGUUAAUCAUUAUUUAUGGCCCGCUUCAACGCUGGCUGAAAGUAUAUCUGCCAGAUAUUUAAAUUUGGGUAAACAGUGGGGGUAAAAAAGAACCCAUAGAAGCAAUUCAUCUAAAAAGCAAUAUUGCUAUUCGACAUUUGCGUAAAUGCGUAGUAAAUGCCAAGUAAUGUCAAAUAGCACUAUGGACACAAGAUACAGAAAUAACGACAACAGAUUCAGAAAGGUAUAACUUGCUUGAUGUAGCCGUUUAAACUCCCCAGAGAUAGAAUAAUUUGCAGGCACUCUACAUACGAAGUUUGGAUGACAUGAAGAACCGUGUGCUAGAGUGCUCUACAGCAGAGUCGCUGGUAGGUAUCCGGGUAUAAUUUGAACAAUUACCUUGAAUGUGAAGUUGGGUCUAAAUCUCAGUGCGGUAUUUGAGGGGGGGGGGGGAGAGGCAUCGCGUAACCAUGGCAGCCAGUAAAGCUACCUAAAUUUUUGUUUAACUUAUAGGCGUUACUACCUUCUUCUUUAAGAAGGGUAAAGGUAUAAUAAUAAGGUAAUAAAUGCUAAGGAGAGAGAGAGAGAGAGCUCGUCAAGUCAAAUAAUUCCAACGGAUUUACAUUUAAUUUACUCCAUUAGACAUUGUAUGGGACAUACCUAAUAGUCUACCAGUCACAUCUUUAGCGCGAGCAAGCCAACGCGUCUCAAUGUUUGGAUCUUGUAAUUUAAUUAAUAUCCUAAGUAAUACAGUUCAUUCAAUUAUU